rnacentral:rRNA from 1 species
UACGUAGGGUGCGAGCGUUGUCCGGAAUUACUGGGCGUAAAGAGCUCGUAGGUGGUUUGUCGCGUUGUUCGUGAAAACUCACAGCUCAACUGUGGGCGUGCGGGCGAUACGGGCAGACUGGAGUACUGCAGGGGAGACUGGAAUUCCUGGUGUAGCGGUGGAAUGCGCAGAUAUCAGGAGGAACACCGGUGGCGAAGGCGGGUCUCUGGGCAGUAACUGACGCUGAGGAGCGAAAGCGUGGGGAGCGAGCAGG